GCGCAGCAGUCGCGAAACUUCACAAUGUGCGAAAGCACGAUGAGGGAAUCCCAAGUGCUUGCACGUAAGUGUAAGCUGUUUCUCUGUCUAAAACGCAGAGAGAGUAAGGGCUGGGUAAGACGGGUGCCAGCCGCCGCGGUAAUACCUGCAGCUCGAGUGGUGACCGUUAUUAUUGGGCCUAAAACGUCCGUAGCCGGUUUAAUAAAUGCCUGGGUAAAUCGGACCGCUUAACGGUUCGAAUUCCGGGUAGACUGUUAAACUUGAGACCGGGAGAAGUUAGAGGUACUCCUGGGGUAGAGGUGAAAUUCUGUAAUCCUAGGGGGACCACCAGUGGCGAAGGCGUCUAACUAGAACGGGUCUGACGGUGAGGGACGAAGCCCUGGGGCGC
rnacentral:rRNA from 1 species